rnacentral:rRNA from 1 species
UACGUAGGCAGCAAGCGUUGUUCGGAGUUACUGGGCGUAAAGAGUGCGUAGGUGGUGCCCUAAGUCUGUUGUGAAAUCUCCCGGCUUAACUGGGAGGGUGCGGUGGAAACUGGGGUGCUUGAGUGUGGGAGAGGUAAGCGGAAUUCCUGGUGUAGCGGUGAAAUGCGCAGAUACCAGGAGGAACACCAGUGGCGAAGGCGGUGCUCUGGGCCGGAACUGACGCUGAGGAGCGAAAGCGUGGGGAGCAAACAGG